rnacentral:rRNA from 1 species
ACGGGGGGUGCGAGCGUUGUCCGGAAUCACUGGGCGUAAAGGGCGCGUAGGUGGUCUGAUAAGGGUGUGGUGAAAGCCCGGGGCUCAACCCCGGGUCGGCCGUGCCGACUGUUGGACUAGAGUGCUGUAGGGGCAGGCGGAAUUCCGGGUGUAGCGGUGGAAUGCGUAGAGAUCCGGAGGAAGACCGGUGGCGAAGGCGAUCUUCUGGACGGAUACUGACGCUGAGGCGCGAAAGCCAGGGGAGCGAACGGGA